GAGCCGGCCGUCCGCGGGGGGGAGAGGCGGGCGGGGCUGCCGCAGGAGCAGCUGCCGCCGCGGGGGCUCGCUGGGGGCCGGGCGAACGUAAGCGAGCCUCGCAGGGAGCGCUCGGCUCUGCCGCGCCCGCCCAGAAGGAAGGUUUCCAAGCGCUGCCUGCUGCUCCCGUCUCCGUGCUCCCCAGCAGGAGGCGGACGGACGGGCUGCGGGCGGGAGAAGCUCCUCCAGGCCCGCCUGCCCCCGCGAGAAGCGCUGGGGAGACGAGAUCAUUUCAUCUCCAGCCACCUGUGGGUCUUGCUGCACCAACUUCAUAGCUUACCGGCAACAAGCUUUGGCACAAAACUUCCCUUGGACAAAGUUUCUGGAGUCAGACCUACUGCAGUGAAGGAGUCAGAUGGGGACAGAAGAGUCAGAUGGUGUGAUCACCACAUUUAGAUAUUGUCAAUUGGCUCCUAACGGAGUGUUGCUAUCAAAGUCAUCUCCGAUCAGCCUCCCAUUGUGAAGACUUAUCUCUAUCUAUGUAUUUAUAAUAAACCACAAGAUUGGUCUCUACCUCACUUCUUUCCAUAUAUCCUACCCCAGUUCAGCUCUAAGGACUGCACAUUGUAUUCAAGGGUUGAAGCUGCCCUCUGAGAAGGGUCAUUCCAUGUAUCUGCUGGCAAGCUGCUCUCCCCACACUUUGUAUCCCGCACCAUGUGAGGGGACCAGAAGCAGCCCGGAAUGUAGAUGAAAUAACCACAGUGCCAUGAGCUGGUGGCUAGUUCUCCUGGGUAUCGGUCUGGUGCCUGGAUGAGCUAUUGCCACAUAAGCGAAGCAAAGGCUUUCCGACAAGGUCCCUCGUUCAUCUUCCAGAGGGAAGGAUGUCCUCAGCUAGCGGGUGGUGAAGAGAAGGUGAGGAGGAUGGUGCAAUCAUUUGCUACAAAAGAGUAACUCAAUGCAGACAUCUCCUUCCACUAGGCAUCUCUCUCUCUCUCUCUGUUGUUUUCUGACCUUCCCUGCCUCCUCCUCCCCUUGUCCAAGAACAAGAGUCUAAGAGCAAGAAGAGAAAAGCACAGCUGCAAAUUGAAUCAAUCCUCUUCUGGCAGGAAUGCCUGCCCAGCUGAGAGCGCUCUUUCCUAGACACAAAUCGGUACCAAAUGGAACAGAUGGAAGAAGGCCAGUGUGGGCCGGAGAGUCACAUACCCAGACCUUGAUGAGGAGUUUAAGAACUAGAAGCCUCGGCAGAUGGUUGAGACUGGUGUGAGGCACUGCCUGCAGCUCCCAGGGCUGACAGCCACCCAGCUUUGUAAAGGAGAAUGGGCAAACAGGCUAGGGUGAGGGUUAACUUUUGUCAGUGUGAAAAGGUAGGAGACUCCAACGUUCCCUGUCAGAGCUCAUGGGGGGCAGGACGGAUGGUCUUGUUUUGUAUUUAUAGCAUCAAGACACCUGGGUUCUUUUCCCCUGGCUCUGCCACAGUGAAUCUGUGGCACUUUAUGCAAGUCAUUGCCAGCUCUUCAUGCCUCAGUUUGACCAACCGUAACAUGGGAAUAACGAUACUGACCAAGAUGAUGAAUUCAUUCCUGUUUGUACAACACUUUGAGACCCUCCAGUGAAAGGUGCUGUAAAUGUGCAAAGCUGAGCUGGGCUUUGACAAGGCUGGCCAAUUGAGACAAUUGCUUUAGGAGAAAGAACGGUCCUGUGGCUUAAAUCAAAGCUAAGUACCCUGGAAAUGUGGGUUCAGUUCCUAGACUUGCCAUGUGGUCCUGUGUAAAUCACUUAGUUGUGCUUUGCUUCCUCAGAUGGAGAAUGUGAUGCUUCCUCAGGCUGCCUUGUCAAUAUAAGAUUUUCAGGGCAGGGACCAUCUCUUGCGUUAUGGUUGUACAGCACCUAGCACAAAGCGGGCCUUGAUCCCAGCGUGGGCCACUGGUGCUAUUGUAAUAUUAAUAAUCAUUAGCAUUAGCAUCGAUUGUGUGAACUGCUGAGAGCUAUAGUGGUGCUGCAAAAUCAAAAGCGGUACAUGAAAAAAGAACAAGUAGUGCUAUUUAUUGAGCACUGACAGUGUGCCCAGUGCUAUUCAGACCAUAGCGGCACAGUCCCUGCCAAUAGCUUACAAUUUAAAGAGGAGUUGGUAUUAUUAAAAUCACAACUUGCCUAGCAAGAACUAUGGCUUAUUGGUCACUCUCUAUUAGCCCCAAAAUAGCAAGCAAAAGGGGCCUGUGAUGACUAAUGGAGCCUGCAAAUGUAUCUCCAGCACUCAGUGGCUAUUAAUUUGUUUGUUUAACAUUGCCAGGAUUUCUGAGAAGUUCCGCACCAUAGCACGGUGUCUGAACAUGCAUUAUGUCAGUUAACAAUACGUCAACAUCUUAUCAGUCUGAACGCAGUGGGUAGGUUAGAGGGUGGUAACUGAAACCUAGCCCACUCGUGAUGAAAUUCAAGACCCUGGAUUGGGCCAGAGGCAGGAUCAGCAGCCAGUGCAAAGAGCAGAGCAUUGGCGUGUUAUGCUGUUGCCACUCUGCCCUAUUUAAAUGACAGCUCAGUGGCUUGUCACUAGUUGGAGUUUCCAGGUGGCCUUCGAAGUCAGCCCUAGUCCCAGCAAGCUGCAAUGGUUCACCCAGGCAGUGACCGAAGCCUGGAUCUCCAUAGUUAGGUCCCCACCCAAGAGGAAAGGGCAGCUGAAGAUGAGGAAAAGGUAUUAACAGACACAAGCCCAGGUUAACCAAUGUGCACUCGAUACACUUGCACCAGACCCACAUCUCGGGGAACCUCGACAACCAGACUUGGAGAGCCACUCCUUCAGCUGCCUCCCAGAACGCUGAAUCCGUUUCAUGACGCAGCGUGUCUGUGUCUGCCAAGGGACUGUGCAGUGCAACGAGAGGGCACACAAGGUGGCCAUGUGAUCCCUCACUGCUAUUCCUAGGCUCUGGGGAAGCUGAAGGAUUUUGUCACAUGAAACAAGAAGCACCCGAUUGCGGAA